AUUGAACGCUGGCGGCAGGCCUAACACAUGCAAGUCGAGCGGAUGAAGGGAGCUUGCUCCUGGAUUCAGCGGCGGACGGGUGAGUAAUGCCUAGGAAUCUGCCUGGUAGUGGGGGAUAACGUCCGGAAACGGGCGCUAAUACCGCAUACGUCCUGAGGGAGAAAGUGGGGGAUCUUCGGACCUCACGCCAUCAGAUGAGCCUAGGUCGGAUUAGCUAGUUGGUGGGGUAAAGGCCUACCAAGGCGACGAUCCGUAACUGGUCUGAGAGGAUGAUCAGUCACACUGGAACUGAGACACGGUCCAGACUCCUACGGGAGGCAGCAGUGGGGAAUAUUGGACAAUGGGCGAAAGCCUGAUCCAGCCAUGCCGCGUGUGUGAAGAAGGUCUUCGGAUUGUAAAGCACUUUAAGUUGGGAGGAAGGGCAGUAAGUUAAUACCUUGCUGUUUUGACGUUACCAACAGUAUAAGCACCGGCUAACUUCGUG
rnacentral:rRNA from 1 species